rnacentral:rRNA from 1 species
AGAGUUUGAUCAUGGCUCAGGAUGAACGCUGGCGGCGUGCCUAAUACAUGCAAGUCGAGCGGCAGCGCAAUCUUCGGAUGGCGGCGAGCGGCGGACGGCUGAGUAACACGUAGGAAUGUACCCCGAAGUGAGGGAUAAGCACCAGAAAUGGUGUCUAAUACCGCAUGUGCUCUAAGGAGUAAAGCUUUUAGCGCUUUGGG